rnacentral:rRNA from 1 species
CAGGCCUAACACAUGCAAGUCGAACGCUCGUAGCAAUACGGGAGUGGCAGACGGGUGAGUAACGCGUGGGAACAUGCCCUUUGGUUCGGAACAACUCCGGGAAACUGGAGCUAAAACCGGAUAAGCCCUACGGGGAAAGAUUUAUCGCCGAAGAUUGGCCCGCGUCUGAUUAGCUAGUUGGUAGGGUAAUGGCCUACCAAGGCGACGAUCAGUAGCUGGUCUGAGAGGAUGAUCAGCCACACUGGGACUGAGACACGGCCCAGACUCCUACGGGAGGCAGCAGUGGGGAAUAUUGGACAAUGGGCGCACUGANUCCAGCCAUGCCGCGUGAGUGAUGAAGGCCUUAGGGNUUUGUAAAGCUCUUUCGCGCGCGACGAUAAUAGACGGUNAGCGCGAGAAGAAGCCCCGGCUAAAUGCUGUGCCAGCAGCCGCNGNUANAUACGAAGGGGGCUAGCGUUGUUCCGGAAUCACUGGGCUGUAAAGCGCUAUGCAGGCGGAUUGUUAAANGUCGGGGNGUGAAAUGCCCGAGGCUGCAACCUGCGGAACUGCCUUGCGNAUACUGGGCAAUCUUNGANGUCCGGGAGAGNGUGANGUGGAAUCUGCGANGUGUAGAGNGUGAAAUGCNGUAGAUAUGCGCAAGAACACCANGUGGCGAAGNGCGGCACACUGGGCCCGUGUACUGACGCGGAGNGUGCGAAAGCNGGGGGAGCAAACAGGAUGAGAGACCCUGGUGAGCCCACGCCNGUAAACGAUGGAUGGCUGAGCCGUCGGAAAGUUAACUUCUCGNGUGGCGCNGAAACGCAAUAAGCAUCCCGCCUGGGNGAGUAACGAUCGCAAGAUUAAAAAUCCAAAGGAAUGGACGGGGGCCCGCACAAGCNUGGGAGCAUGUGGUUUAAUUCGAAGCAACNGAGAAGAACUUAACCAGGCCUUGACAGCCCGGUCGCUGCGCCCUUGGAAAGAGGNNNGCUCUCAUUCGGUGGGACCNUUGACANUUGCUGCNUGGUUUCUCAGUCCGUUUGCUGUGAGNUUUUGGUUAAAUCCCGCAACGAGCGCAACCUCCGCCUUAAUUGCCNCNUAAAUUGGGGCAUUUAAAGNNGAUGGCCGUUGNAAAGCCGCGAGGAAGUGGNGGNAGACUCAAUCCCUCUAUGUGCNUACGCUGGGGCCACACACUGUCAACANUGGCGUGACAUUGGGCAGCGAAGGCGCAAGCCCGAGCUAANCUCUAAAAAGCCUGCUCAGUUCGGAUUGGAGUCUGCAACUCGGCUCCAUGAAGUUGGGANCGCUAAGUAAAUCGUGNGAUCAGCACGCCACGUAGAAUAACUUACCCGGGAUUGUAACACACCGCCC